rnacentral:ncRNA from 2 species
AUCAAUAGUGCUUGAAUUGGUGUGAGGGAAUCCUUGAAUUCGCCUCGCUUAAAAGGGAAGCUGGUGUGACUCCAGCGCUGUCCCGCAACUGUAAAUGUGAGUGUAGUAAGCAUAUCCACUGUCUUUAAAUAGAUGGGAAGGGGCUGUUACACAGUGACCAUGAGCCAGGAGACCUGCCAAUUCUACUGUGCAUCU